ensembl:snoRNA snoZ159 Small nucleolar RNA Z159/U59
CCUUUUGAUGAUGAUUUAAACAGUUUGACUUUCGUUCUUCUGAGUCUGAUGAAGCCAAACUUUCUGUCCUGAGAGAGG